UACGGAGGGUGCAAACGUUGCUCGGAAUCAUUGGGCGUAAAGCGCACGUAGGCGGUCCGGUAAGUCGGAUGUGAAAGCCCUCGGCUCAACCGAGGAAGUGCAUUCGAAACUGCCGGACUUGAGUACGGGAGAGGGAUGCGGAAUUCCCGGUGUAGAAGUGAAAUUCGUAGAUAUCGGGAGGAACACCAGUGGCGAAGGCGGCAUCCUGGACCGAUACUGACGCUGAGGUGCGAAAGCGUGGGGAGCAAACAGG
rnacentral:rRNA from 1 species